rnacentral:rRNA from 1 species
ACCCAGGGAACUGAAACAUCUAAGUACCUGGAGGAAAGGACAUCAACCGAGACUCCGCUAGUAGUGGCGAGCGAACGCGACUAGGCCAGUGCUUCAACUGAAGACAAGUGGAACCGUCUGGAAAGUCGGGCCGUAGCGGGUGACAGCCCCGUACACGUAAUGCAAGGUUGAAGACUCGAGUAGGGCGGGACACGUGCAAUCCUGCCUGAACAUGGGGGACCACCCUCCAAGCCUAAGUACUCCUUACCGACCGAUAGCGCACCAGUACCGUGAGGGAAAGGUGAAAAGCACCCCGACGAGGGGAGUGAAAUAGAACCUGAAACCGGAUGCCUACAAACAGUCGGAGCCCGCAAGGGUGACGACGUACCUUUUGUAUAAUGGGUCUGCGACUUAGUCUGGCGAGCAAGCUUAAGGCGAUAGCUGUAGGCGAAGCGAAAGCGAGUCUGAACAGGGCGUUCAGUUCGUCGGACUAGACCCGAAACCAGUCGAUCUAUCCAUGGCCAGGUUGAAAGCAGGGUAACACCUG